AGCAGCCGCGGUAAUUCCAGCUCCAAUAGCGUAUAUUAAAGUUGUUGCAGUUAAAAAGCUCGUAGUUGAAUUUCGGGGUUAGCAGGUUGGUCGUGCCACUGGUAUGAACUGGCCUUGCUGAUUCCUCCCUCUUGAUGAGCCGUAAUGCCAUUAAUUUGGUGUUGCGAGGAAUCAGGACUGUUACUUUGAAAAAAUUAGAGUGUUUAAAGCAGGCAAGCGCUUGAAUACAUUAGCAUGGAAUAAUGAAAUAGGACGUUUGAUCUUAUUUUGUUGGUUUCUAAGAUUGACGUAAUGAUUAAUAGGGAUAGUUGGGGGCAUUAGUAUUCAAUUGUCAGAGGUGAAAUUCUUGGAUUUAUUGAAGACUAACUACUGCGAAAGCAUUUGCCAAGGAUGUUUUCAUUAAUCAAGAACGAAAGUUAGGGGAUCGAAGACGAUCAGAUACCGUCGUAGUCUUAACCAUAAACUAUAGCCGACUAGGGAUCGGAUGAUGUUAAUUUUUUAAUGACUCAUUC
rnacentral:rRNA from 1 species